UUGCUAAAUUCCGAGGCCAUGUACUUUCAUCAAAUGUAAAUUCUCUUAUGGUAAAUUGGAGAGUAUUUGCUGAACCCAUUGUCAAUUGAAUCGCGAAAUUGAAAUGAAAUAUCUGUCUCCAAGAAACGAAAACUAUAAAUGAUCGACGCCCAUGUCGUUACAAUUAUUCAAGGCUUUGUCAAUUUAAUUGAACAAUUUUAUAAGAAAUAUUUACCACUGGAAUAACUAUUCGUUGACUCAAGUUUAAAUAUAUACCCAACAUCUGGGCAGUUUGCUACCGGUACAAGUAGUUGUAUCACAUCCCCUACGUGUAAAGUUCUUCAUUACAAUUUUUGAAAGUGGAUCAUUGUCUGCAUUAUGAUUUUUUUCACAUAUGUUGUAAUAUGAAAUGGGAAUUGUCAUUUCGCGUGCAGUCUUGAAAAAGAGAUCAUCGGAGAGGUCAAAAAAUAGAUGAGUGUCACAAUCCAUGCCCUAGCGCAAACGGACAUCGGAUGAGCCAGGAGAAUUUAUCGCCUACGACCGCGACGUAAGGUGCUGACCUUGUGCUUUUUUCCGGAAUAAAACCAAGCAUAUGUAGGUAUAUUUAUAUGUAAAUAUAUACAAAUAUCUGUAUUCUUAGUUUCGAGGAAAGCAUGUAAUUAUAACGAGGAACACAUUUCAUUUACUUCUAUUAAUAAUUUAACACUUGUUUGGAAACUUUUGUAAAAUAAGCAUAGUGCAAAAAAAUAUUAUUCUAUAUGCUAUCAUAUUAAAGCACCUCAUGCAGUGACCACGUGAAAAUAAUAUCAUAGGUAUAUAAAAGUCGCAUAUGAUAGUCGUAUGAAUAAUUGCUCAAAAGAAAUAAAUGAAGAGGGUGCAAGUUUGUAGAUAUCGAUGCUUCUGCCAAAUUAAAUAUGACUCAAAGGAUGGGUAAAUAGAUGUUAAUGCUGUUAUUGUGUACGGGUAUUUUUACGCCCUCAUUCGUAUGUGUAUACGCGUUAUAGUCGAAUUUUGAUGUGUGUGGAAGGAGUAGGUGCAGAAUUUAGCACUGUAGAACAGAUGCCACUAUAGACGCUAAACUUAAAAUUGUUACAGUACGUAUUAAGCAUCAAGAAUUAGCGAAGACGUUUGUCAUCUCCAGCUCUGAGUAGGUCGAGAUAUUUUUCAUUUGGUUCGUAGCUAGGUCAGUAGGUCCCGACGCCACGAUCUGCAAGAUUUUUUUGUUUGAUUGGCAGAUACAUCAAAGUCAGGAGAGGUAUUUUUAAAAAAUUCCAUAUUAUUCAAAUUGGGCUGCGAAUCGAAACUUAUCAGUACAAUAAUGACCUCAGACUCGUCCUUCAAAAAUGAACGCUAAUAACUGAGAAACACGGGAAAUUCAACCGACGGUCUUUAUUCUUCCCCAAUUGUUUUACAUCAAAAAUAGGGAUGUUAGAAGCUUACACUACGAUCACAAAUUUAAAAGAAAAGUAUUUUCUACAAAUCGUGUCGACAGCUAUUGCAAGAAAUUAUUUAAAUUCAUCAUAUUCUACGAUAACUGUGUGUGAACUUCAUUGGUAACGUAUACGUGCUAUUUUAUUCGAAUUCGGGGCUUCCUCUAUCGAACUUUCAAAAUAAUGUUGUUUUCAGUUAGCCCUGCAUAUAAAUCAUAAUCUAAUAAUAUCAUUUGGCGUUCUACAUUGUCCAGUCGCGACGACAACUGACUCAGAUUUUUGUAGUAGGUGAUGGUAGGUGCAUAAAUCUUGAGGUUGAAGUAAAACCGCUAACACCACAGCCAGACCUCAAGCCAAGAUGAGAUCAUCUGUAUAAUCAACAUUGGGAUAUAUGUGCUAUAAUUGCGGCUUCGGAUCGCAUUUUUUUUUUUUUUUUUGCAUC